rnacentral:rRNA from 1 species
GACGUAGGGCGCGAGCGUUGUCCGGAUUUAUUGGGCGUAAAGAGCUCGUAGGCGGCUUGUCGCGUCGUCCGUGAAAACCCACAGCUCAACUGUGGGCUUGCGGUCGAUACGGGCAGGCUGGAGUUCGGUAGGGGAGACUGGAAUUCCUGGUGUAGCGGUGAAAUGCGUAGAUAUACGGAGGAACACCUGCGGCGAAGGCGGGUAGCUGGGCCAACACUGACGCUGAUGCGCGAAAGCUAGGGGAGCAAACGGG